rnacentral:rRNA from 1 species
UACAGAGGUCUCAAGCGUUGUUCGGAUUCAUUGGGCGUAAAGGGUGCGUAGGUGGCGUCGUAAGUCGGGUGUGAAAUUUCGGAGCUUAACUCCGAAACUGCAUUCGAUACUGCGGUGCUUGAGGACUGGAGAGGAGACUGGAAUUUACGGUGUAGCAGUGAAAUGCGUAGAGAUCGAUAAGGAAGACCAGUGGCGAAGGCGGGUCUCGUGGACGAGUUCCUGACGCUGAGGCACGAAGGCCAGGGGAGCAAACGGG